rnacentral:rRNA from 1 species
GAUGAACGCUGGCGGCGUGCCUAAUACAUGCAAGUCGAGCGAACAGAUGAGGAGCUUGCUCCUCUGACGUUAGCGGCGGACGGGUGAGUAACACGUGGAUAACCUACCUAUAAGACUGGGAUAACUUCGGGAAACCGGAGCUAAUACCGGAUAAUAUAUUGAACCGCAUGGUUCAAUAGUGAAAGACGGUUUUGCUGUCACUUAUAGAUGGAUCCGCGCCGCAUUAGCUAGUUGGUAAGGUAACGGCUUACCAAGGCAACGAUGCGUAGCCGACCUGAGAGGGUGAUCGGCCACACUGGAACUGAGACACGGUCCAGACUCCUACGGGAGGCAGCAGUAGGGAAUCUUCCGCAAUGGGCGAAAGCCUGACGGAGCAACGCCGCGCGAGUGAUGAAGGUCUUCGGAUCGUAAAACUCUGUUAUUAGGGAAGAACAAAUGUGUAAGUAACUAUGCACGUCUGGACGGUACCUAAUCAGAAAGCCACGGCUAACUACGU